AGGGAAUUUUCCACAAUGGACGAAAGUCUGAUGGAGCAACGCCGCGUGCAGGAUGAAUGCCUUCGGGUUGUAAACUGCUUUUAUCUGUGACGAUUUUGACGGUAGCAGAUGAAUAAGGAUCGGCUAACUCCGUGCCAGCAGCCGCGGUCAUACGGAGGAUCCAAGCGUUAUCCGGAAUUACUGGGCGUAAAGAGUUGCGUAGGUGGCACUGUAAGUUGGUAGUGAAAGCGUUCGGCUCAACCGAAUAAACAUUACCAAAACUACAGAGCUAGAGGACAAGAGAGGUCACUGGAAUUCCUAGUGUAGGAGUGAAAUCCGUAGAUAUUAGGAGGAACACCGAUGGCGUAGGCAGGUGACUGGCUUGUUCCUGACACUAAGGCACGAAAGCGUGGGUAGCAAAC
rnacentral:rRNA from 1 species